rnacentral:rRNA from 1 species
UACGGAGGAUCCGAGCGUUAUCCGGAUUUAUUGGGUUUAAAGGGUGCGUAGGCGGCCUAUUAAGUCAGGGGUGAAAUACGGUGGCUCAACCAUCGCAGUGCCUUUGAUACUGAUGGGCUUGAAUCCAUAUGAAGUGGGCGGAAUAAGACAAGUAGCGGUGAAAUGCAUAGAUAUGUCUUAGAGCUCCGAUUGCGAAGGCAGCUCACUAAGCUGGUAUUGACGCUGAUGCACGAAAGCGUGGGGAUCGAACAGG